rnacentral:rRNA from 1 species
GAUGAACGCUGGCGGUAUGCUUAACACAUGCAAGUCGAACGGGCUCUUCGGAGUUAGUGGCGGACGGGUGAGUAAUGCGUAAGAAUCUAGCUUUAGGUCGGGGACAACAGUUGGAAACGGCUGCUAAUACCGGAUAUGCGGAGACGUGAAAGUUUUAAUGCCUAAAGAAGAGCUUACGUCCGAUUAGCUAGUUGGUGGGGUAAGAGCCUACCAAGGCGACGAUCGGUAACUGGUCUGAGAGGAUGAUCAGUCACACUGGAACUGAGACACGGUCCAGACUCCUACGGGAGGCAGCAGUGGGGAAUUUUCCACAAUGGGCGAAAGCCUGACGGAGCAAUACCGCGUGAGGGACGAAGGCUUUUGGGUCGUAAACCUCUUUUAUUAGGGAAGAUAAUGACGGUACCUAAUGAAUAAGCAUCGGCUAACUCUGUGCCAGCAGCCGCGGUAAU